rnacentral:rRNA from 1 species
AUGGCGCCGAGGUUCACAAAGUUUUAUGUGGAGAAAUUUGAUGGCACUGGUAACUUCGGUUUAUGGCAGACAAGAGUCAAGGAUAUUCUGGCACAACAGGGAAUCUUGAAGGGUUUGCAGGAGACGAAGCCGACCAAGGAUGACGACGAUGCGUGGGAGGAUAUGCAAGUGCAGGGGGCUGCUACCAUACGACUUUGUCUUGCGAAUCAGGUCAUGUAUCAUGUCAUGGAUGAAGAUUCUCCUAGGAAAAUUUGGGACAAGUUGGCAAGUCAUUAUAUGUCCAAGUCAGCGACCAAUAAGCUGUAUUUGAAGUAG